rnacentral:rRNA from 1 species
CCUACGGGGGGCAGCAGUGGGGAAUAUUGCACAAUGGGCGCAAGCCUGAUGCAGCCAUGCCGCGUGUGUGAAGAAGGCCUUCGGGUUGUAAAGCACUUUCAGCGGGGAGGAAGGCGUUAAGGUUAAUAACCUUGGCGAUUGACGUUACCCGCAGAAGAAGCACCGGCUAACUCCGUGCCAGCAGCCGCGGUAAUACGGAGGGUGCAAGCGUUAAUCGGAAUUACUGGGCGUAAAGCGCACGCAGGCGGUCUGUCAAGUCGGAUGUGAAAUCCCCGGGCUCAACCUGGGAACUGCAUUCGAAACUGGCAGGCUAGAGUCUUGUAGAGGGGGGUAGAAUUCCAGGUGUAGCGGUGAAAUGCGUAGAGAUCUGGAGGAAUACCGAUGGCGAAGGCGGCCCCCUGGACAAAGACUGACGCUCAGGUGCGAAAGCGUGGGGAGCAAACAGGAUUAGAUACCCGAGUAGUC